AAUUUUCUGCAGAUAAUGUGUGGAAUGGUGGUGAUCCUGGACAUUUGAUGGCUGUGAACUUUAAAGGUCAUCCAUGGCAUGUAUGUGUAUUUGGGGAAGUACUGACUGCAAUUGAUGUGCUCUGUCAAGUUAUGUAAAAUUUCAAGCGGUUUUGAGCAUUUCACGGGUUGGUUGGAGAUUGAUUAAAGUUCUAGAUGCAAUUUUAAUGCGAAACAAUUGUUGAAAAUCACAGUCAAUCGUUUUGGACCAAUUCGCAAAAAAUUGGGUAAUUGAUGCAGCAUACAACCAAAAGGAAGAUAUAACUGCAGCAUCCCACCUAUUUAAGGAUACUCUUAACAACUAGUUGAUUGAGCCACAUUCUAACUGCAAGACUAACUACUUCCAACUGUUGGCAAUAGAUCCAAUCAACAUACACUAUGUGUUGUUUGCCAACUCAGUGUUGGUGGCUCAUAAAGGGGACAUUACACCUCCUCGUCCAUCUAUUCCUAAAGUUGUGGUAAAGAGCCACCUAUUUUUGGUCACACAUGAAGAGAGCCUGCUACACAUAUGACAACGAAAUUGGAGAAGUCAUUUAAAAUUGAAUUUUGAGAGAUUGUCGAUCAACUCAUUGCAAUAUGCAUCAAUGCAAAUGAUUUGGCUGUCAACAUUGUUCUCUUAGCAUAUUGACAAGAUAUGGAGAGGAAAAUUAAUGACCCUCCAAAGGGUACAAGGGCCUAGGUUUUGAGGUGUGUAUUGCUUUAGUGGCAAAGGAGUGAAACUUGUAGAAGAUUCAUUGAAGAUCAUUAAGAAUUUGUGGGUUGAGAUGAUGGUAUCAAUCAUUUCCAAUGGAUGGAAGGAUGCUAAAAAUCAACCUUUGGUCAAUGUGAUCAUAGUGUCUUUUAAACGAGCAAUGUUUUUUUGAAAGCUUUGGAUUAUGAGGUGUAAAUAAAAAAUACACAAUUUAUAGUUGACAUCUUUAUUGGGGCCAUUGAC